rnacentral:rRNA from 1 species
UAAAAUAUUAAUAUGAAUUUAUUUAUCCCGAAUUUAGAAGAGCUAUUUAUUAAUUUUUUUAUUGUUGCAUAAAUAUUGUAAAUUAAUAAAUUGUAAUGAAAUAUUAUUCGUUUCUAAAUAUAUCUGGUUUUCCAAGAAAUAAAUUUAAUUUACUUGGUUUUUUAUUAAUUUAUUUUUUAAGUAAUUUUUUAUUAAUAUCAGGAAAUGUCUUGAGGGAUGAGCUUUGAGUCAUAAUUUUAAAAAUUUAUUUUGUUAUUAAUGGUAAGUAGGAUUAGAAGUUUCUAUUUUUAUAAGAAUGUUAUAAUUUACCGUUAUUUUUAUUUUUAUUUUUAUUUUAUUUUAAGUUUUUUAUUGGAAUUUAAUUUUGAAUUUUGUAUUUUUAAUAAAAAUGAUUAAAUUAGUAUAAUUUUUUGUAAUUUUAUAAUUAUUUUUUAAGGUUAAUAAAAGGAAUUCGGCAAAUAUUUCUUCACCUGUUUAUUAAAAACAUGGCCUUUUGAUUAUGAUUUAAGGUCUAGCCUGCCCGCUGAAGAUUUAAAUGGCCGCGGUAUCCU